UUCAUUCUUUCAAACAAUUGACAAAUUAAAUCUUGCCAUUGAAGCAUCUUGAUGAUGAAGAUGAGCCAGCACUUCCUCCAACAGAUAAUGUGAUAUCAGUAUACGAGGAGCACGAGGACAGUGUGUAUAAUGUUAAAUGGAGUACCACUGAUGCUUGGGUAUUUGCAUCACUGAGCUAUGAUGGGAGACUAGUCAUCAAUCAUGUACCAACCAACGAGAAAUAUGCCAUAUUGACUGCUUGAGUGUAUAACAACAAUAUAAUAAUAAUAAUAAUAAUAAUAAUAAUAAUAAUAAUAAUAAUGUGUAGAUUAUAGUAAUGACGAUUUGAAUUUGAUAUUUAUGCUAUUAAUAAUGUAUUUUAACCCCACACUGGAACAUGAUUUAGAAAAGAGCUGAGAUUUAGCA